rnacentral:rRNA from 1 species
GGAGCGACGCAGGAGGGCACAUGAUCGCGCGGCUGGAAGAGCGCGUCCAAGUGCGUAUGCGUAGAGGGAGGCAAAUCCCCCUUUACAGAAGCAGAGACAUGAUGGGGAGUUAAAGGAGACUUUGACGAACUCAUGGAUCCCACACUGCCAAGAAAAACUUCUAGCGAGACGAAAUCCGCCCGUACCGUAAACCGACACAGGUAGGCGGGGAGAGAAUCCUAAGGUGCGCGGGAAAACCCUCGUUAAGGAACUCGGCAAAUUGCAUCCGUAACUUCGGGAGAAGGAUGACCCUGAGUAGGCGAAAGGGAGAAACCCCCGGAACAGAAAAGGGUGGCAGAAAAGAGGCCCAAGCAACUGUUUACCAAAAACACAGGUGCCUGCGAAAGCGAAAGCUGAAGUAUAGGUGCUGACGCCUGCCCGGUGCUGGAAGGUUAAGGAGAGAGGUCAGCGAAAGCGAAGCUUUGAACUGAAGCCCCAGUGAACGGCGGCCGUAACAAUAACGGUCCUAAGGUAGCGAAAUUCCUUGUCGGGUAAGUUCCGACCCGCAUGAAAGGCGUAAUGAUUUGGGCACUGUCUCAACGAGGGGCCCGGUGAAAUUGAAAUACCUGUGAAGAUGCAGGUUACCCGCGACUGGACAGAAAGACCCCAUGGAGCUUCACUGCAGCUUGAGAUUGAAUCCCGGUGACAUAUGCACAGGAUAGGUGGGAGGCUAAGAAGUAAUGCCUUUGGGUGUUACAGAGCCGAUGUUGGGAUACCAUCCUUAUGUUGCUGAGAUUCUAACACGGAGACUAACAACCUCGUGGACCACCUCAGGCAGGCGGUUUGACUGGGGCGGUCGCCUCCUAAAAUGUAACGGAGGCGCCCAAAGGUUCCCUCAGGCCGGACAGAAACCGGCCGAAGAGUGCAAAGGCAGAAGGGAGCUUGACUGCGAGACAGACAAGUCGAGCAGAGACGAAAGUCGGGCUUAGUGAUCCGGUGGUACUGAGUGGGAAGGCCAUCGCUCAACGGAUAAAAGCUACCCUGGGGAUAACAGGCUAAUCUCUCCCAAGAGUUCAUAUCGACGGGGAGGUUUGGCACCUCGAUGUCGGCUCAUCACAUCCUGGAGCUGGAGUAGGUUCCAAGGGUUGGGCUGUUCGCCCAUUAAAGUGGUACGCGAGCUGGGUUCAAAACGUCGUGAGACAGUUUGGUUCAUAUCCAUCGCGGGCGCAAGAAGUUUGAGGGAGGCUGCUCCUAGUACGAGAGGACCGGAGUGGACGGAUCAACGGUGUACCAGUUGUCACGCCAGUGGCACGGCUGGAAAGCCGCAUCCGGAAAGGAUAAACGCUGAAAGCAUCUAAGCGUGAAGCCCGUCCCGAGAUGAGACUUCUCAUCAGCUAUGAGUAAGACCCCUUAAAGACGAUGAGGUUGAUAGGCUGUGAGUGGAAGUGGCGCAAGUCAUGGAGCGACGCAGUACUAAUAGGUCGAGGUCUUAGC